UACGAGGGGAGCAAGCGUUGUUCGGAUUUACUGGGCGUAAAGGGCGCGUAGGCGGUCGUGACAAGUCACUUGUGAAAUCUCCGGGCUUAACUCGGAACGGUCAAGUGAUACUGCCGGACUAGAGUACAGAAGGGGCAACUGGAAUUCUCGGUGUAGCGGUGAAAUGCGUAGAUAUCGAGAGGAACACCUGCGGCGAAGGCGGGUUGCUGGGCUGAUACUGACGCUGAUGCGCGAAAGCCAGGGGAGCGAACGGG
rnacentral:rRNA from 1 species